rnacentral:rRNA from 1 species
AGUGAACGCUGGCGGUAGGCCUAACACAUGCAAGUCGAACGGCAGCACAGUAAGAGCUUGCUCUUACGGGUGGCGAGUGGCGGACGGGUGAGGAAUACAUCGGAAUCUACUUUUUCGUGGGGGAUAACGUAGGGAAACUUACGCUAAUACCGCAUACGACCUACGGGUGAAAGCAGGGGAUCUUCGGACCUUGCGCGAUUGAAUGAGCCGAUGUCGGAUUAGCUAGUUGGCGGGGUAAAGGCCCACCAAGGCGACGAUCCGUAGCUGGUCUGAGAGGAUGAUCGGCCACCCUGGAACUUGGACACGGUCCAGACUCCUGCGGGAGGCAGCAGUGGGGAAUAUUGGACAAUGGGCGCAAGCCUGGUCCAGCCAUACCGCGUGGGUGGAGAAGGCCUUCGGGUUGUAAAGCCCUUUUGUUGGGAAAGAAAAGCAGCAGGUUAAUACCCCGCUGUUCUGACGGUACCCAAAGAAUAAGCACCGGCUAACUUCGUG